rnacentral:sRNA from 1 species
GAGGAUGAUGUCCUUCGAGCUACCCCUUCCCUUCCCCCACCCCAGCCAAGUUGCCUCAGCUGACUUUUCACCCUGGAUUUCCACA